rnacentral:rRNA from 1 species
UCCUACGGGAGGCAGCAGCUAAGAAUCUUCCGCAAUGGGCGCAAGCCUGACGGAGCGACGCCGCGUGGACGAAGAAUGCCGAGAGGUUGUAAAGUCCUUUUAUUUGCGAAGAAUAAUGACUGUAGGUAAUGACAGUCAGAUGACGUUAGCUUAUGAAUAAGCUCCGGCCAAUUACGUGCCAGCAGCCGCGGUAACACGUAAGGAGCGAGCGUUGUUCGAAAUUAUUGGGCGUAAAGGGCACGUAGGCGGUUAUAUAAGUCUGGUGUGAAAGACUGCAGCUUAACUGCAGGAACGCACUGGAAACUGUAUGACUUGAAUCAGUGAGGGGUAACCGGAAUUCCUAGUGUAGGGGUGAAAUCUGUUGAUAUUAGGAAGAACACCGAUGGCGAAGGCAGGUUACUGGCACAUGAUUGACGCUGAUGUGCGAAAGCGUAGGGAGCGAACAGGAUUAGAUACCCUGGUAGUCUACGCUGUAAACGAUGUGCACUUGGUGUCGGGAUUUCUAAGUCUCGGUGCCGAAGCUAACGCGUUAAGUGCACCGCCUGGGGAGUAUGCCGGCAACGGUGAAACUCAAAUGAAUUGACGG